CCUACGGGAGGCAGCAGUGAGGAAUAUUGGUCAAUGGACGAGAGUCUGAACCAGCCAAGUAGCGUGAAGGAUGACUGCCCUAUGGGUUGUAAACUUCUUUUAUAUGGGAAUAAAAUGUUCCACGUGUGGGAUUUUGUAUGUACCAUAUGAAUAAGGAUCGGCUAACUCCGUGCCAGCAGCCGCGGUAAUACGGAGGAUCCGAGCGUUAUCCGGAUUUAUUGGGUUUAAAGGGUGCGUAGGUGGAGUGUUAAGUCAGUUGUGAAAGUUUGCGGCUCAACCGUAAAAUUGCAGUUGAAACUGGCAGUCUUGAGUACAGUAGAGGUGGGCGGAAUUCGUGGUGUAGCGGUGAAAUGCUUAGAGAUCACGAAGAACUCCGAUUGCGAAGGCAGUUCACUGGACUGCAACUGACGCUGAGGCUCGAAAGUGUGGGUAUCAAACAGGAUUAGAUACCCCAGUAGUC
rnacentral:rRNA from 1 species